AUGUUCACUACAACAGCACAUAUACUAAAAUUGGAAUGUUAAUCAGCAAAGGUUAACAUGGUCCUUGCACAAUGGAGACAUGCAAAUUUGUAAGGCUUUUAAUAUUUUU
rnacentral:snRNA from 1 species